CUGAAAUGCUCAGGCAUUCUGAUUUCCAUUAAAAUGAAAGGUGUGGUGCACAGAAAAUUACCCAGAUGGUCUCACCAUCCACUGGAGAGGGCAGAAGGUGUAACCCUCAAAUGGAAGAUGUUUAUGCAGAAUUGUCUUCAGGUUGCAAUAGCACCUGCUGGGAUGACACAUCUUCCUUGGGAGCUGCUGCAUUUCUGAGAUCAUCAGUAGAACAUAAAGAAGAAAUGACACUAAAAAGGCAGAAGAGAUUUCACAAGCAAACACUCUUCCUGGAGCCCGCAAAUUAAUCAGUAAAAAGACGAUUUUGUUCCAAGCAUUGAUAAGUUGUCAUUAUAAUUCUAAGAGCAUUUCAGCAGCCUUUCACCAGUUGUACCUCUGAAAGUCUUGUGACUUGUUCAUUGGAAAAACUGUACCACGUGUGUGGCUGCUCUGCUUUUACAAGAUAAGGAGGCAUCAAAAGAUGCCAGGCACGGUGCCAGAUAACAGCGCCAUUAGAGCAGGACAACCACAGCACCUCUGCCUAAACAACGCCUCUGCUUGUUCUAAAAGCAUCAAAUGGUCACAGCAAAUGCUGAGGGAUCUGCCUCCUGUGAGGGAAACCUCUGCUGAAAGCGUGAUCCUGAGCUGGGAUGUGUGACCCCAGGGUUAGAGGGAGCCAUUAACCAACUCUCUUGGUGAAUUAGAAAAUGUCUCUAACAUGGGUGAAAAAAUAGUUGUUCAGAUUAUUAAAAAUGUGAUUGUAAACAGAAGGCUAUAAGAAGGCUUCUACUACUUCAGUGCAAUCUUAGACUUGUAGUUCUCAUUUUGCUAGUUUUUAGGAUAAAUGCAGAUGCCUCAGCCUGCUCCCACCUGAGUAGUACCUUCUGGCUUCUGUAGUCAGCUAUCUUUAUUCUGAAAAUAGUUUGGUUCUUUAUUGUCUUAUUUUUCCAUUCCAAGUAAAUGUUUGAGUGAAUUUAUAUGCCAUUGUUCAAUAUUUGAAACAGUUAGUUGCAUCUAUUAACUCAGGGGAGGAUAAUGGAGUUUUCCCUACUUGUGGAAACUGCAAUAGUAUUCCAAGUUCAGCUUAUCUUGGGACACUUUAAAAUCUAAACUUUUAUGACAUGUGAGAACUGGGGAUGCAAAUAAUGGUUUGCCUGCAAAGAGGAGGGGAGAUGAGAAAUGAAGCCUGUAGCCACCCCCUUCAGGCAGCAGUGGUUAAAACCCCCAAAGCAACCCCUCAAUGAGGUAAUAAAGCUCACAUGACAGAAAAGAGAAUUCCUUUU
rnacentral:lncRNA from 1 species